AGCAGUCGCCGCGGUAACACGUAGGUGGCAAGCGUUGUCCGGAAUUAUUGGGCGUAAAGGGCUCGCAGGCGGUUUCUUAAGUCUGAUGUGAAAGCCCACGGCUCAACCGGGGAGGGUCAUUGGAAACUGGGAAACUUGAGUGCAGAAGAGGAGAGUGGAAUUCUACGUGUAGCGGUGAAAUGCGUAGAGAUGUGGAGGAACACCAGUGGCGAAGGCGACUCUCUGGUCUGUAACUGACGCUGAGGCGCGAAAGCGUGGGGAGCGAACAGGAUUAGAUACCCCGGUAGUCCCUGUCUCUUAUAC
rnacentral:rRNA from 1 species